AGCAGAUAGCGUGAGACUUUCGAGAGCACCCGGAGGAUAUCCCAAUUCCUGUCCCUUAACAGGCCGUCCAAAAAUUGUAAUUUUACCACUAUUAUGGAAAGCUGACAAAUCGGAAAAUGACAAAUUGACAAUGGGAAAAUGACAAAAUUCGGGUAACAUUAGCUAGCAUGUGUAUUACCAACAGUAUCUCUAGUUUUCGGUCUUUGAGCCGUAUCCAUUUUAAAAGAUCGCAAUUAGCAAAGUUGAUUUCAUGACUAUCUUCGCAUAAACAUUCCGUCGACAAGCUGCAAAUCAAAUCUCUGAACAAUAAGCUGCCAAUCUGCCAAUCUUGAAUGUUGACGUGAUGUCACAUCCGGUUGCCUAUCCCAUCAUACACCAAAAGCACAAUCUAAGAUCACGUGUCCAGCAUGAUGUCUUUAAACAUGUGGCGGGCGUUUCGUGAAAGCCAGCAGGCAACAGUUUCUGAUGUUUGCCAAGAGAACAAAUCACCUGACUCAAAUCAAGGUCUGAAUCUUGCACUGUUAAAGGCCUGAACACUAUCAAGCUGACGGUUGGAUGACACAGUCUUCUCACUAGGAGCUACCCACCUUUAAUGACAGCUCUGUAGUAGAAAAAGGUUCUCAGCAGUUUGUAUGACAGAUAGAAAAUGGAGAGGCAACAAUAAAGUCUAUGUACUGUCACUUAUAUGGAAAAAGAAUUCAUUUUGAGGCAUUUAGAUUAGAUUUCACUUGGUAUAAGGUGAGUCAUGAUUUCUCUGUGUUUGGUUGGAGUGGUUGUUAAUAUAUAUUUAUCACUUUUGCCAUCUUUACUAGGAAUAAUAAAACACAAUGAAGGCAAAAAUGAAAUGAACAGGGAAGUGGUUAUUUCAAUGUUCUUCAGCUAUUCCAAGAAUCUAUUGUUACUUGUAUGUGAGGAAAUAACCUAGCCAUGCCUGGGGUUCCAUUGUUGAUGGAUGUUCAUACAUGGGAGGAGGGACCAGUUUCUUUCCACUUUAUAUAUCAGUACUUCCUUAACCAUUAGGCUUUUUGCUCUUUAGUACUUACAGUAAGAAUUUGUUAUUGAGGAAAUUGAAGAGGCACAGUGGUCUAAUGGUUAGUGCAUUGGACUGCGCAUCAAGCAGUCUUUGGUUUGUUCUUGGGCAAGACACUUAACUCUCACAGUGCCUCUCACCACCCAGGUGUACAAUUGGUACCUGUACUUAGAGAAUUCAAUGCUGCCAAGGGCUUACUGUACCCUGCAACAGACUAGCAUCCCAACUAGAGGUUGGAGGGAGAGAAAUACUUUUAUCACUUGUAAUUAUGCUUCCAAAACCUGCACAGGCUGAAGUGUUUUGGAUCACUUGGUCUGACAUAGAUUCUACCUUACCUUCAUUGU